rnacentral:rRNA from 2 species
UACGGAGGGUGCAAGCGUUAUCCGGAUUCACUGGGUUUAAAGGGUGCGUAGGUGGUCUGUUAAGUCAGCGGUGAAAGCCUGGAGCUCAACUCCAGAAUUGCCAUUGAUACUGACGGACUUGAAUCAAGUUGAGGUGGAUGGAAUAUUACAUGUAGCGGUGAAAUGCUUAGAUAUGUAAUAGAACACCAAUUGCGAAGGCAGUUCACUAAGCUUGUAUUGACACUGAGGCACGAAAGCGUGGGGAUCAAACAGG